UCAAUACUUGCAUUGUGGGUUUACUGUAAGCACAGUUAUUCCUCUGUGAAAGUUAUGAGAUAGUAAUGUUCCCUAUACUAUAGGCUCAUUUCCCAUCAGAAUGGCCUCUGACUCUUUUGUGAGUAAGUCAGUCAUUAUGAGAAAACAGGAAGCUGAUGGCCACUAUUGUGCUUGGACUCAAGAAGGGUCAUCAAAACACUUCUGUAAAUGUUAUAAAAAGGAAUUUGUGGCUACAGUAUAGUUUCUUUUGCUGUUGCUUUUAGAAACAAUUAAAAAUGACUAAAGUUUAAAGUCUGAGUUUUCAACCAUCGGUCCAUGUGGAAUAUAUAUAUAAAAUAUAGGCUAUAGGACAUUAAUUCUCAUGACAUUUCUAACUGACUAAUCUUCAACUUUCUAAAUAAUGCUAAUAUAAUAUAUUAUAGUUAUAGUUCUUAAUGAAGUUAUUAUAGGAUAUACUAAGGGUCCCUGUAUAUGGCUGGAGGCAAAGGUUCAAAACCCCUGGUUUUGAAUAUGAGACACUUUUUGAAAAUCAAACUAAAUUUAAUUUUGGGCUUAAUAGCUUUCUGAAUGGAUAUUCUGAACUCUGAUCUCUUUUUUCCAAUUAGGAUUAGGAGAAACCGGGUCUAAACUGCAGCCGUAAACUGCUUUGAGAGUUAUUUGCUCGUGACUUGACCCCAUCUGUGAAGGUCACCCAUUAACAACAGUUUUUCUUGUCUGUGUGUGAUUGGUUACAUAUUUGCAUUACAAAAGUGGUGCACUAAAAAUGCAAAAAGAAUGACACAUAGUUGCACAAUUGAGAUUCAUUAUCAGCGUGAGUCAAGCGUAGGGAAGAACCCUUUUCUUUGCUCGAGAAUAUGAUGUAAUGCAAUGCUGAGGUCAUUCUGUGGUUGCCAUGGCAUCACCUUGGGAACGUGAAUUUGGGGUAAAUCAAACUUUCAAUCAGUUUCAAUCAAUCAAUUAACCUUCUCAGAAUGUCUUUAUUUCUUAUUGUUCAUGUGUCUUGCAUCAAAUUGAGCCUUCAAAACUGGUUUCAACAGCAAGAAACCUCAUUCUGGUUACAAGAUGUAUCAUUGUCUGACUAAUCUGACCACAAUCCUGAGGUUGUGACUGAAAACUCUUGUUUUGAACCACAGACUAAAUUUGAGCUCAGCACCUGUGAAGGGAUUGAAAAGUUUCCAGGCAUCCAAUUAGAGAAAAAAACGUGUAUUGUUUGCAGAAUCCCUAUAUGACGAAGUCGACUUUCAGCCAGACUCCGUUUCGUUAAGUUUCAGCAAUACUAGGCCUGUUGAAACACCCGUCCUACAAAUGUAAAGUUUAUCAUAUGUUGUUCAAAGUUCUGCUUUUACAACCGUGACUUAUUUUCCCACCUCUCCCGACCAUUGCCGUGUAAAGAAAGCAAAUCAGGUUACAGCAAUCCUCUUUUUGGAUUAUUUUCUUAGGGUUUGGGCGUUAUAACUCAAAUCACUCCCAGCCUCUCUCUCUCGCUCUCACACACACCCGCAGGCUCAACAAAUGUUAGAAGAUAAUUUAUCUCACAGUUUAUAUUGCGUACACAUCAGCGUUCAGGUGUCUACUCUGAAAUGAAACCUCUGUGUCAGAAAUGAUUCCGGAUGGGAUUCUAACACACUCCAUGUAUGUGCAGUGCUGUGUUCACUUAACCUCAUGCAAGAGCAUUUAACUGAAGGCUUAUGAACACUCAACAUUGCCCCUUGCCCCUCUUUCUGACACAAUUGGACCGGCUGAAGGUGUCUCCUGGGAGACAUUAGUCAGUGAAAAAGCAAAUACUCCAUUUUGAAACCAUGUUUUCAAUUUAGAGGCACAUGGUUUGAAUUAGGGUCAUGCUUACUGAGGUGGGUGAGUGGGAGGGUUAGCCUCAGGACAGAGGUGAGUGAGAGCUUCCUAUACACCCACAUUUACACUUUAACUAUCAACUUUGUUUCAGUUUUAGGGACUUUUGGAUUCAGGAUGGUUAUGGUUAUUGAUUUAAUUUAAUAGUGCAGCUAACAAAUUAAAGGAGUAGUUCACACAAAAAGUCAUCAUUUACUCACCUUCAUGUCGUAUGACAUGUAUGACUUAUUUUCUUCUUCAGACCACAAAAGAAGUUACUUUUAAGAAUGUUUUUGUCAGUGAAACAUCUCACUGAAUUUUAGAACGACAUGAGGGCAAGUAAAUGAUGACCGAAUGUUCAUUUUGGGGUGAACAAUCCCUUUAAACUGUCUGAAUAUGUAGAAAUAUGUAAAAUAUUUUAAAAGUUUUCAUUGCAAUACGACACUUAAUUUGUUUAGCAAGGAUUUGAAAAGUAGAUGCAUGGAUAUUUGAAAACUGAUUAUAUUUAGCAUUAUUAAGCUGCACUUAAACUAUUUUGACUCGGUGAGUUGCUCCAGAAAUCACAGUUAUUUGUUAUAUGUUACAUGCAAUGCUGUGCUUAAUGUACAAUUUGAUAUAAUAUACAAUAGGGGUGUAAAAUGGUGUGCCAGUUGAAGAGAACAGUUGUAAUGACAGACUAAUAUGAAUCUAGUGGUAUUAACUUUAUAACUAUAAUACAUUUUAUCUAUAUACCACCGUUCCAAAGUUGAAAUACAGUUUAUAUUCCAAGAUAUAAUAGAAUAAAAAUUAUAAACAAUAAUUUCCAGUGCGUAAUGCUAUAUUAUUAAAUAGUUAUAUAAUGCUGUAAUGGUUGCUAAGCCCCAGGUUGUAGCCCAGUUUUUAAAUGCAUAAACCUAUUCUUUGGUUUCCAUGAAGAUUUCAUUGCUUCUCUAAAUGGCAAAGCGAACGCUUUUGGCAUCUAAAUUAAAUUUAAUUGACGGAUUAGGUUUUUUUUUUCAUCCUAGUAGUGCUACUCGUUUGGAAAAGUUUUGUGAUUCUGAAAAUAGGCAUGAGGGGUAGUCUGGAAUUCUUGGAUUACAUCAUCCUUUAUGAUGUCAUCAUCAUUGGGUGACUUUGGCACGUUACCGAACGGGUGAAGUCAGGCGGAAUUUUUGCUCUCGCUGCCCAGUGCAAAUCAUUUAAAACGGAGCCUCAGGGCGUAUCAGUACGAGCAACUGUUAACCCCCCAUACUACUCUCCUUUCCUUUCAUCACUUGUCUCUUCAAGGGGACAGUCGAGAGAGGGUGACGUCUUCGUUUUGAAAAAUGGCAAAAAGAAAAAAAAAAGCCUGUGUUUUUCUCUUGGGGGACAUCAUAAUGAUUUGAUUUACUGGCGGUCAUUUGAUCAACAUCGUGCGCUCCACUCCCUAAACACACACUCCUCUAGCAGCGGCAGGCGCGCGCAAGAAGGUGCAGGCUGCCGGACAUCUCGGAGCUGGAAUCACAUUUAUUCUCAUUAGAUCGCGAUAGUGUCAGCUGGAGGCAGGGGAGGCACGAGCCAGGGCCAUAAAAACUACCUCACUACCUUUUCCCGCCAUUACCUCAUACAGAUCACAUCACACCCAGUUAGUCCUUCUCCAGUCUCCGCCGAAGCUGCACGCUGCCGUAUGUUUGUAAUGAUUCAGUCGCUUUUUGCCGGUCAGGCUUACUGCCAACUUGUCAAAUUACCCUCGUAAAUUGGGAAGGAAAUGGUCCGUUUACAACCUUGAAACAUACAACAGUUUUCAACAGGUUUUGGGGUUGGGUGAGUAAUUUGCAUAUGCAUUUCAAGUCGAUAUGCAAGUCUUCACGUGUCUUAAGUAGACUACACCUUCUGUAUCUGCGUUUCCUUGCAAUAACAGACACUGAUAAUGUUCUACUUCAAUUUUCCCUCUCCAUCUGUUUUUUUAACCCAGUGAAAAAUUGUGGUUAACCCCAUCCAUGUACAAUUUUAAGCUAUACACUUUAGCGUGACAAAACUGUGUUUUUAAGAAAAACAUCAGAUUUGAUAUUUGACCAGCAGUUUUUAUUGUUAUUAUUGACAAGAUUAUUACAUUUAUAUUGAUAUUUUAAGCAUCUCGUGCAACAAGAGCAUUAAAGGGAUAGUCACCCAAAAAUGAAAAUAUGAUGUUUAUCAUCCAAGAUGUAGGUGACCCAUUGCCAUGCAUUAUACGACUGACAGACUGCAACGGUUGGAGUUAAAAAUCAUAAUUUGUGUUCUACUGAAGAAACAAAGUCACCUACAUCUUGGAUGCCCUGGGGCGACAGCAGAGGUCAAUAGAGAUGGCUCCACGAGAUGAACUGGCUCGCUCCCCCGAGACGUGCGUUCUCAGUGAGGCCCAGUGAUAGAUGAAGUGUGCAAGGGAUUGGUUCUGGUCCGUGUUCAAUCAAACUUCAUGGCUUACAUUGGGUGAGGCACGGGCGCGUUAUGGGACCUGUUUUGUGUUCUAUAGGUUGUGGAGUGUGGCUUUGUUUGUAUUGGAGACCUUCCCAUAUCCAUUUACACAUUGUCUACGUUUGCACAUAGAUUGAAAGCUGGCAUAAGUGUUUCAGCUUUAACAGAACUUGGAUUCCAUUCAAUGAAAAUGAAUAGAGACCUCAGUUUAGUUGGUCUUCAUUUAGUUUGUGUAGAAAAGAGCAGCAUCACUGGAAGUAACAUUUUGAAUUAAAUGGGAAAUUGGCUGAAAUUUUAUUUUCUUGUAAACGUACUCCAGUAAUUAUCGAAACUUGUUUCCGCCACUAAAUAAAAAAUAAAAAAGGUAAUUACGACUUUCUAUCUCACAAUUCUGACUUUUUUCUCACAAUUGCGUGUUAUAAUGUCAGAAUUGCGAGAUAUAAACUUACAAUUAUGAGAAAUAAAGUCAGAAUUGUGAGUUAUAAACUCACAAUUGCACAUUAUAAACUCACAUUUGCGAGAAAUAAAGUUAGAAUUGCGAGAAAUAAACUCACAAUUGCGAGAAAUAAAGUCAGAAUUGCGAGAUAUAAACUCACAAUUGCGCAUUAUGAACUCAAUUGCACAUUAUAAACUCACAAUUACGAGAAAUAGUCAGAACUGCAAGUUAUAAACACAAUUGCUAGAAAUAAAGUCAGAAUUGCGAGAUAUAAACUCACAAUUGUGCAUUAUAAACUCACAAUUAUGAGAAAUAGUCAGAACUGCAAGUUAUAAACACAGUUGUGAGAAAUAAAGUCAGAAAUGCGAGAUAUAUAUAUCGAUUUGCGAUAUACAGGU